rnacentral:rRNA from 1 species
AUUGAACGCUAGCGGGAUGCUUUACACAUGCAAGUCGAACGAGUGGCGGACGGGUGAGUAAUGUCUGGGGAACUGCCCGAUAGAGGGGGAUAACUACUGGAAACGGUAGCUAAUACCGCAUACUAUCGGAUGAACCCAUAUGGGAUUAGCUAGUAGGUGAGGUAAUGGCUCACCUAGGCGACGAUCCCUAGCUGGUCUGAGAGGAUGACCAGCCCCACUGGGACUGAGACACAGCCCAGACUCCUUCGGGGGGCAGCUGUGGGGAAUUUUGGACAAUGGGAGAAACCCUGAUCCAGCCAUCCGGCGUGUAUGAUGAAGGCCUUCGGGUUGUAAAGUACUUUUGGCAAGGAAGCGGUAUCUGCAGAAGAAGCACCGGCUAACUACGUGCCAGCAGGCGCGGUAAUAC